UACGUAGGGUGCGAGCGUUAAUCGGAAUUACUGGGCGUAAAGCGUGCGCAGGCGGUUCGUUGUGUCCGAUGUGAAAGCCCCGAGCUCAACUUGGGAAUGGCAUUGGAAACUGGCGAGCUGGAGUGUGGCAGAGGGGGGUGGAAUUCCACGUGUAGCAGUGAAAUGCGUAGAGAUGUGGAGGAACACCGAUGGCGAAGGCAGCCCCCUGGGCCAACACUGACGCUGAGGCGCGAAAGCGUGGGGAGCGAACAGG
rnacentral:rRNA from 1 species